AUUGAACGCUGGCGGCAGGCCUAACACAUGCAAGUCGAGCGAGCGGCGGACGGGUGAGUAAUGUAUGGGGACUGCAAGAUAGAGGGGGAUAACUACCGGAACCGGUGGCUAAUACCGCAUACUAUCGGCUAAUCCAUAUGGGAUUAGCUAGUAGGUGGGGUAAAAGCUCACGUAGGCGACGAUCUCUAGCUGGUCUGAGAGGAUGAUCAGCCACACUGGGUCUACGAUACGGCCCAGACUCCCAGUGAGGCAGCAGGUGGGAAUAUUGGACAAUGGGCGCAAGCCUGAUGCAGCCAUGCAGCGUGUAUGAAGAAGGCCUUAGGGUUGUAAAGUACUUUCAGCGGGAAGGCGUUACCCGCAGAAGAAGCACCGGCUAACUCCGUGCCAGCAGCCGCGGUAAUUC
rnacentral:rRNA from 1 species